rnacentral:rRNA from 1 species
UACGGAGGGUGCACGCGUUAUUCGGAAUCACUGGGCGUAAAGGACGCGUAGGCGGGUUGGCAAGUCAGAUGUGAAAUCCUACAGCUUAACUGUAGAACUGCAUUUGAAACUGCUAACCUAGAGUAUGGGAGGGGGAGAUGGAAUUAGUGGUGUAGGAGUAAAAUCCGUAGAUAUCACUAGGAAUACCGAAAGCGAAGGCGAUCUCCUGGAACAUAACUGACGCUAAGGCGUGAAAGCGUGGGGAGCAAACAGGAUUAGAAACCCUAGUAGUCC